rnacentral:misc_RNA from 1 species
GCAAACUUGGUCAUUUAGAGGAAGUAAAAGUCGUAACAAGGUUUCCGUAGGUGAACCUGCGGAAGGAUCAUUAUCGAUUCACAUUGAUAGAGACACGAAUGUAAAAAUACGUUCUUGGGGGGAGUCCGAGCCGUGGUGGCAACAGGAGGGCGAUGAUCCCCUCCGCGAUUCGUGUCUCUGUCUUCCACACACCUGUGCACCUGUUGUAGGUCCCGCAAGGGAUCUAUGUCUUUCUCAUAUACCCCAUUGUAUGUUUAUAGAAUGUACCUUUGUUGCUUCUCGUCAGAGAACAAUAAUAAAACCUUUAUAACUUUCAGCAACGGAUCUCUUGGCUCUCGCAUCGAUGAAGAACGCAGC